GGUUAUGUAGGUAUUUGGACUCUCCACUGGUCCAUAAGAUUUUUGGAGAGAGAAAAUUAUAAAGAGAGAUAAAAUAGAGAGAGAAAAUUGGGGUUCAAACCUAGAGCAGAGGUAGGAAAAAGAGAAAAUUCUCUCUUUUUCUUUUCUUUUCUUUUCACGGGAGAGAGGACCCAUGCAUCCUCUCUUUUCCCUUUCUUCUUUCA
rnacentral:lncRNA from 1 species